rnacentral:rRNA from 1 species
UUUUAAAACGCGUCAAAGCGUAACCUUAGCCCCCAAAAUACCAUUAAUUUUCAUGAACCCCUAAUCUAUAAUGAAUGACUCCAUAUUUAUAUGGAAGACACCAUGCUAGGAUUAGUAACAAGAAUUUAUAAUUCUCCAAAAUGCAAAUAUAAACCAACAUGGAUGGACCAUUGGUAGUUACCGAACCUAAAUUCAAUGCAACAACACCUACAAGAAAACUCUGCAGUACUUACUCGUUAACCUAACACCAGCGCAUUACAGGAAAGAUUUAAAAAAAGAGAAGGAAUUCGGCAAAUGACGGCCCCGCCUGUUUACCAAAAACAUCGCCUCUUGACUUAUAAUAAGAGGUCCAGCCUGCCCAGUGAAUUUUAAACGGCCGCGGUAUCCUAACCGCGCGAAGGUAGCAUAAUCACUUGUUCUUUAAAUGGGGACUCGUAUCAACGGCAUCACGAGGGUUUUACUGUCUCCUCUUUUUGAUCAGUGAAAUUGAUCUUCCCGUGAAGAAGCGGGAAUAAAUUUAUAAGACGAGAAGACCCCAUGGAGCUUUAAACCAAAUAACAACUUAACCACUUAUCCCAUAAUAAAUUUAAGCCCUGUUAUAAGGUUUUUGGUUGGGGUGACCGCGGAGUAAAACACAUCCUCCACGACGAAAAAAACAGAAUUUUUAUUUAAGAACCACACUUCUAGAAAUUAGUAUACUAACGUUUACUGACCCGACAAUCGAUCAACGGACCAAGUUACCCUGGGGAUAACAGCGCAAUCUACUUCAAGAGCUCAUAUCGACAAGUAGGCUUACGACCUCGAUGUUGGAUCAGGGUAUCCCGGUGGUGCAGCCGCUACCGAAGGUUCGUUUGUUCAACGAUUAAAACCCUACGUGAUC